rnacentral:lncRNA from 1 species
UAAUUCAAUCCAAUUCAGAGGCUCAGAUCUGAAACAAAGAUGGGAUCAAUCGUUGAGAAAAACCACCGCCAUGAAUGACGGCACUGCAUUUUGAUUCAAUCUCAGUGAAUGCCACGCCAUCGGCAAGUAUUCUUCCACGACGAUCGAUCCAUCUCGAUCCACACUCCGAAACUAUCGUCAUCAUUGCCUCUUGAGAGAGAGAGAGAAAAAGAGGAUCAAAGAAACAAAGAAAGAAAA